rnacentral:misc_RNA from 1 species
AACUCCCGUUUUAACGGUGUUGUCUGAGCUGCAAGCAACGAAUCAAAACUUUCAACAACGGAUCUCUUGGUUCUGGCAUCGAUGAAGAACGCAGCGAAAUGCGAUAAGUAGUGUGAAUUGCAGAAUUCAGUGAAUCAUCGAAUCUUUGAACGCACAUUGCGCCCCUUGGUAUCCCGAGGGGCAUGCCUGUUCGAGCGUCAUUUCACCACUCAAGCCCGGCUUGGUGUUGGGCGACGUCUCCUUUAGGGACGCGUCUCGAAACGCUCGGCGGCGUGGCACCGGCUUUAAGCGUAGCAGAAUCUUUCGCUUUGAAAGUCGGGGCCUCGUCUGCCGGAAGACCUACUCGCAAGGUUGACCUCGGAUCAGGCAGGGAUACCCGCUGAACUUAA